rnacentral:rRNA from 1 species
CGGGUGAGUAACGCUAGGAAUAUGCCUUAAGAGUGGGACAACUUGGGGAAACUCAAGCUAAUACCGCAUAAGCUCUGAGGAGUAAAGCUGGGGACCAUUUGGCCUGGCGCUUUAAGAUUAGCCUGCGCCCGAUUAGCUAGUUGGUGAGGUAAGGGCUCACCAAGGCGACGAUCGGUAGCUGGUCUGAGAGGAUGACCAGCCACACUGGGACUGAGACACGGCCCAG